CCUACGGGUGGCUGCAGUGAGGAAUAUUGGUCAAUGGACGAGAGUCUGAACCAGCCAAGUAGCGUGAAGGAUGACUGCCCUAUGGGUUGUAAACUUCUUUUAUAAAGGAAUAAAACGAGGCACGUGUGCCUUUUUGUAUGUACUUUAUGAAUAAGGAUCGGCUAACUCCGUGCCAGCAGCCGCGGUAAUACGGAGGAUCCGAGCGUUAUCCGGAUUUAUUGGGUUUAAAGGGAGCGUAGAUGGGUUGUUAAGUCAGUUGUGAAAGUUUGCGGCUCAACCGUAAAAUUGCAAUUGAUACUGGCAGUCUUGAGUACAGUUGAGGUAGGCGGAAUUCGUGGUGUAGCGGUGAAAUGCUUAGAUAUCACGAAGAACCCCGAUUGCGAAGGCAGCUUACUAAACUGUGACUGACAUUGAUGCUCGAAAGUGUGGGUAUCAAACAGGAUUAGAUACCCGUGUAGUC
rnacentral:rRNA from 1 species